UUCCCAGACUCCUACGGGAGGCAGCAGUGGGGAAUAUUGCACAAUGGGGGAAACCCUGAUGCAGCGACGCCGCGUGAGUGAAGAAGUAUUUCGGUAUGUAAAGCUCUAUCAGCAGGGAAGAAAAUGACGGUACCUGACUAAGAAGCCCCGGCUAACUACGUGCCAGCAGCCGCGGUAAUACGUAGGGGGCGAGCGUUAUCCGGAUUCACUGGGUGUAAAGGGAGCGUAGACGGCCGUGCAAGCCAGGAGUGAAAGCCCGGGGCCCAACCCCGGGACUGCUCUUGGAACUGUGUAACUGGAGUGCAGGAGAGGUAAGCGGAAUUCCUGGUGUAGCGGUGAAAUGCGUAGAUAUCAGGAGGAACACCAGUGGCGAAGGCGGCUUACUGGACUGUAACUGACGUUGAGGCUCGAAAGCGUGGGGAGCAAACAGGAUUAGAUACCCGUGUAA
rnacentral:rRNA from 1 species